UCUGCUUUUCCUUUUUUUUUUCUCCAGCAGGCCCUUGUUGUCCCUUUCCAUUUCUUCCCCAUUUCUAGUUUUCUUUGAUUUAAAGCCUCUUCAAUUUUUUUUGCUUAUUUAUGUAGCUUUCAAUAUCCUUUCCAUCGACCAUCACUCUCCUCUCGUCUGCUUGUCCUUUCUCUCCUAAUUGGCCAGCGCUCUCCUCUGUGAUUUUGGGAGUUCUUAUGGUCUCAGUAUCAGCAACAAUUCUCCUUUUGCAUAAGCAAGUCACAGAUAGCAGAGAGGUUAGCAAUUCUCCUCUCUGAUUUUUGGGAGUUAUUUUCUCUUACUAGCCCUGAUGGAGGAAUCUUUUACUUUUAAAUCUAUGCUACUUAAUGGGUUUUAUUAAUUUCUUAGGUUUGUAAUUGAUGAUAUUGUAUUUUGGCAUUUACCUCAGUACAUUAGAUUUGUUCUCUUUUAUUUUUUUAGGCCUUUUGCUGUAAAUACAUCGAAUUUUGUUAUUUUUUUUAUGCGUUUGCUGUAAAUCUAUGCCUUGUGAUGCUUGAACCUUGAUGUUGGAUGUGAUAAAUGUGCCGUGAGCCUUGCUGUUGCUUGCUUCUGCAUUAUUCCUUAGGAAGAUGAGAUUUUCUUUAUCGCUUUUGUUUCAUCCUACAUAUUUACUCUUUGAACUAACUAUUUUUAAAUAACCUCCUCCUCCUCCCUUUUCAUUUGUGUAUAUAAAUAUAUAUAUAACACAGGACGCACGAUGAUGAAAUAUUAUCUACCCUUCAAAUAUUGGCUUCCCUCGGAAAACAGCUGGGAAAUGAAGAUGUUAGUGGUUGCUCUAAUCAACUAUGCAAUAGCAACGACAAUUGAACAUGCACUCAAAACCCAUCCCAACUCAAAUUACAAAACAUGUGCUAGAAAUAUUCGUCUCCUGUUGGGUUAUAAGGCAAUUGUACUACUUGUUUUGAUUAAUGUUCUCAUCUAUGGUGUGUUACUUCUGAGUUUAUGGGUCUACAUGGUUAUACGAGUAGCACGCAAUCCAUAUCAAGACUUAUAUCUAUUAGUAGGUGAAGAUUUGCAGCACUCAAAGGAGCUAGCCGAAGAUGCAAUCCAAAGGCUGUUUGGCAGGCUGGAGUGAGCCACGGAAUCAAUCUUCUAGUUAGUAUCCGAGUUGUAGAAAUAAUUCCGAUACUCAUCUCCUUCAGCACAACAAAAUACCCAUCUCAUUCCCAGAAUAUGUUUGAGAAUAGCAUUUGCUAUUGAAUCCAUACUCAAAGCUUGUAAAUCAAAUUGUGUUGAUCUUAGUCCCAAGCUUCAGAUGGUUUCUUGACCUGCAUAUUUAAAUGGGUAGCUUGGAACUCAUAUCAAGAUCUUUACCAUUUGCUACUCCACUCAUAUAAUGAGUUGAAGAGGCUCACAAGAAAUGCAUUUGAAGCACUGAGGAGGGUGGCCAAUUGGAGGUGGGGAAACAACGUAAUGCAGGAACCGAAUCAUCAAUCUUCUUCAUCUGUUAAAUAUUGUUUAGUCUUAAUUAUUGCUUAUUCAUUAAUAUUAUGUAAAUGACCUUGUUCAUAUUCCUUGCUGCUACUCUGACCAAAUAGGUGAUUAAUAUCUUUAUUGCUUAUUGCUACUUUGACCAAAUUGGUGAUUGAUUUCUUUGUAUUUCUUGCCCAGCACUGUCCAUGGAUUCAAAAAAGUUAAGCUUCUUGUUGUAACUUAAAGCUUGCUUGCUAUCAGUUCAGAUAUCUUGGGUCUUCGAUUGUACCAGGGUAAUUAGCAAAGCUGCUGGUUCAUAGUUAUUUCCUCUUGAAUCUUAGGUUUGGAUCUAUUCAGAAUCAUAGUUGUGUUGUGCAGUAGUUUUUUUGGGUCUUUAGUUAUGCAGCUUGAGUGGGAGCUUCUGCUACUAUUUAUAUUUUGGUUUGGAUCUAUUCAGAAUCAUAGUUGUGUUGUGCAGUAGUUUUUUUGGGUCUCUGGUUUCUGCAGCUUGAGUGGGAGCUUCUGC